AGGAUAUGCACCCACUGCCCUGGGGUGCAGAGAGAGGCGAGCCACCGCCAUGCACACAGAGCAUUUCCGGAUUUCCUCUGUCCCUGGGGCUCCCAACUCGACUUUAACAAGGGCACUGAGGAACAGAGAGCAUCUUAACUUGUUCCAGAUCACACAGCCGUGGACGACCAAGGCCGGCUGGGAGUCCAGACCACCAUUAUUUGACAGGCCUGCGAGCUGCACAGGCUGCGUGCACGGGAGGCCGCCCAGGCCCCUCCACGCCGACCCCCGCAGGAGCUCACGGAACGUGCAGUGGUCGAGCCAACGAACAAGCGCCCGGGGGAGCGCGUCCGGGCGAGUGGACGUGCCGCCAGGGUCCCAGCGCCCACCCCCAUCUGUGGGUGGAGGGAGAGUGUCCCGGCUUCCAACCCACCUUCCCAGCCAGGCGCCCCUCGGCCCCGGGGAGUGGCCCUGGUAGGCGGAGCCUGGUCCAGCGAGCCAAUGGAGGCACGGGGGCGGGGAAGGUGGGCGAGCACGCACGGAGGGGCGGAGCCAGCGGGGAGAGGGCGGGCGGAC
rnacentral:lncRNA from 1 species